rnacentral:tRNA from 1 species
GCCUGGGUGGCUCAUUCAGUUAAGCGUCUGACUUUGGCUCAGGUCAUGAUCUCAUAGCUUGUGGGUUCAAACCCCACAUCAGGCU